rnacentral:lncRNA from 1 species
ACUCCCCAGCUGUGAAAGGAGGAGCUCUACGGUGACUUUGAAGACUUGGAAACAGGGGACAUGCACAAGGGAAAAUCGGGCCCCGACACUCAGAAUGAAGAUAUAGAGAAACAAGGAAGAAAUUGACCCCGACGAAGAAGAAAGUGCCAAGAAAAAGCAUUUGGAUAAGAAGAGAAAAUUGAAGGAGAUGUUUGAUGCGGAAUAUGAUGAAGGAGAAAGCACAUAUUUUGAUGAUCUUAAAGGAGAAAUGCAGAAAGAAGCACAGGAGAAUGGGAGCAGAGGAACUGGAGGCUGCAACUGUGGAAAACUUUUGUGGGGUUUUGCUGCAGAGAGAAGCAGAGAAAUGAAGCAGUUUUUGGUGGAAGAAGUGGAAUCAAAAGGUUUUGAGCUGAAUCACGUAGAAUUUGAAGAUCAAGAUGAUGAAGCCAGAGUUCAGUAUGAUGGUUUUCGACCUGGGAUGUACGUCCGCGUUGAGAUUGAAAAUGUUCCCUGUGAAUUUGUGCAGAACUUUGACCCCCAUUACCCCAUUAUCCUGGGUGGCUUGGGCAACAGCGAGGGAAAUGUUGGACACGUGCAGAUGCGUCUGAAGAAACAUCGCUGGUAUAAGAAAAUCCUCAAGUCCCAAGAUCCAAUCAUAUUUUCUGUAGGGUGGAGGAGGUUUCAGACCAUCCUGCUCUAUUAUAUUGAAGACCACAAUGGAAGACAAAGGCUUCUAAAGUAUACCCCACAGCACAUGCAUUGUGGAGCAGCCUUUUGGGACCCUAUCACUCCACAGGGAACUGGUUUCUUGGCAAUACAGUCUGUCAGUGGCAUAAUGCCUGAUUUUCGGAUAGCUGCCACAGGAGUUGUCCUUGAUCUGGAUAAAUCCAUAAAAAUUGUGAAGAAAUUAAAGCUAACUGGUUUUCCAUAUAAAAUUUUCAAGAACACUUCAUUUAUUAAGAUAUUGUCUUCAUGCGAACUUGGUAUCCUGUUUCCAUCCCAGCCUUCUAUAACCCAGUAACAUCUUUGUUGAAACCAGUGGGUGAGAAAGACACCUGGUCAGGAAUGUGGACCACGGGCCACCUCGGGCUCGCCCAUGGUGUCAGACUAAAGACAAACAAGGACUCUCUGUAUAAGGUACUGGUCGUGUGUGUGUUAGUGGAGAUGAAGCCUGUGCCCUACAGACAGGGAGUCACGCAGACACUUUUCUAUAAUUUCUUACGUACUUUGAAUGUUCAAGUAUAAAGUCUAAUGUUAAAUUUGAUUGAACAAUUGUAUAUUUGUGGGAUAUUUUGGAAUGGAACACCAAAAAAUGGUAAUAGUGGUUCUUUCUGGA